UUCAAUCAUCCCAACCAAUCUUUCUCUCUUAGUUUUCUCUCUCUCCCAUUUGAGAAUUCUUAAGAAUUCUAUUUGUUUGUAAUAUUUUGGAGAUAGUAAAGUUAACAUCCGGUGUUAGUGCCCGAGGACGUAGGUAUAAUUUAUCAACCUCGUUAAAACUCUUGUGUUCUUUCUUGUCCUAUUUUUCUUUCAAUAUUUGAGGGUAUAAUAGUAGUAUUUAAUUGUGCUAUUAAAUUACUAUAAAAGGGAUAUUCGACUAAGGAAAGACUUGGUAUUUAAGAGAUCCUUGUGAUCCACCUCUCUUCCCUGGGAAUUGAACUUUGUGUGAUUUUUUAGUACAAUAAUUUACAAGCUUCCGACCCUAUUGAAACAACACUUUGGAGUGAUGAAAAUUCAAAGUUCAAACUUGUCCUGUUUCCGAAUUUAUUAGUUAACAAAAAUUAAUAAUAAUAAUCCUAACUCUACCGGAAAGGAUUGUAUGUAAUGAAAUGAAACUUUUGGAAUUUAAAUUGAAAUUGUUAAUAUAGUAUUAAAUUUUAAAAUUUAGAA